UUUCCGUAGGUGAACCUGCGGAAGGAUCAUUAUUGUAUAACCGAGGUGCGAGGGCUGUCGCUGACCCGAAAGGUCGUGCACGCCCGAGUGCCCUCACACACAUCCAUCUCACCCCUAUGUGCACCACCGCGUGGGUCCCCCUUUGGCUUGUUCGGAGGGGGGCUUACGUUUUCACACAAACUUUGUAUGCAGUGUAGAAUGUAUUUUUUGUUUUUGCGAUCACGCAAUCAAUACAACUUUCAACAACGGAUCUCUUGGCUCUCGCAUCGAGAAGAAGCAGC
rnacentral:misc_RNA from 1 species